ACGGUCAUAGCACCGUACGAUCCUGUACGAUCACUGAAGUUAAGCAAGGUCAAGCCUGAUUAGUACCUAAGAUGGAUGACCGCUUGGGAAUACCAGAUGAUGUAAG